UGGCGGCGUGCCUAACACAUGCAAGUCGAACGGAAUUAAGGGGCUUGCCCUUUAAUUUAGUGGCGCACGGGUGAGUAACGCGUAGAUAAUCUGCCUGAUGAUUCGGGAUAACACUUCGAAAGGGGUGCUAAUACCGGAUAAGCCCACGGGGUCUUUGGAUUCUGCGGGAAAAGGGGGGGACCUUCGGGCCUUCUGUCAUCAGAUGAGUCUGCGUACCAUUAGCUAGUUGGUAGGGUAAUGGCCUACCAAGGCUACGAUGGUUAGCUGGUUUGAGAGAAUGAUCAGCCACACUGGACUGAGACACGGCCCAGACUCCUACGGGAGGCAGCAGUGGGGAAUAUUGCGCAAUGGACGAAAGUCUGACGCAGCGACGCCGCGUGCGGGAUGAAGGCCUUCGGGUCGCAAACCGCUGUCGCGAGGGACGAAAAAAAUGACGGUACCUCGAAAGGAAGCACCGGCUAACUCUGUGCCAGCAGCCGCGGUAAUACAGAGGGUGCGAGCGUUGUCCGGAAUUACUGGGCGUAAAGGGCGAGUAGGUGGCUCGAUAAGUAGGAGGUGAAAUCUCACGGCUCAACCGGGAGGCUGCCUUCUAGACUGUCGAGCUCGAGCAUGGUAGAGGCAGAUGGAAUUCCCGGUGUAGCGGUGGAAUGCGUAGAGAUCGGGAAGAACACCAGUGGCGAAGGCGGUCUGCUGGGCCAUAGCUGACACUGAAUCGCGACAGCG
rnacentral:rRNA from 1 species